rnacentral:misc_RNA from 1 species
AAAAAGGCAUGGUUAACACAGUUAUGUUUUUAAAUAUGUUCCUCUUUCAGUUUCAUAUCUUUUUGCCUGCAAAGGUAAAUCUAUACAUCAAUAUUAUUUACCCAGCACACAUUUUAUAAUCGCUUUAUCUAUCAAGGAAGAAAUUUUUUCCCUCAAAAGCAAAAAAUUUUGUUUGAAAAUUGGCAUGCAAUAAAUACGUUUUCUAUAGAAGACCAAUCUGAAAUUGGGUUUUGGUCAUACUUUUCUGUAUACAAAUAAAUUGAAAUGCAUAGUCGGCGUCUGUGUGUGGGUGGUGGGUGUCUGUGAUUGUCACAAUAUUCACAAGAGUUGUUAUGUUAUUGCACAGUUGGCGUAUCAUUAUAUAUCAUAUUAUGCUUCUAAUCACUUUAAUUCUGUUUUUAAUCCUGUAUUUACAUAAUUAUCAUGUUCCCUAACGAGAAAAUAUUUGUAUUUUAUCACGUUAUAUAUGCUUGUUUUGCUGAACUGGAUAUAAGCCAAGAGUGUUUACUACUAAAAUAAAUGUUGAUAAUAAUGGGUAUUAUGCUACAUGUAUAUUGCAUAAUAAACAUAUUGAAAAACUUUU